rnacentral:rRNA from 1 species
GAGACAGUUCGGUCUCUAUCUACUGUGGGCGUUAGAAAUUUGAGUGGAUCUGACUCUAGUACGAGAGGACCGAGUUGGACAAACCUCUGGUGUAUCUGUUGUUCCGCCAGGAGCAUUGCAGAGUAGCUACGUUUGGAAGGGAUAAGCGCUGAAAGCAUAUAAGCGCGAAACCCACCACAAGAUGAGAUUUCUUUAAAGGGUCGUGGGAGAUGACCACGUUGAUAGGCUAUAGGUGUAAAGGCAGUAAUGUCAUAGCCGAGUAGUACUAAUAACCCAUAGGCUUAUUGUAC